rnacentral:rRNA from 1 species
CAGUCGCCGCGGGAAUACGUAGGGUGCAAGCGUUAAUCGGAAUUACUGGGCGUAAAGCGUGCGCAGGCGGUUAUAUAAGACAGAUGUGAAAUCCCCGGGCUCAACCUGGGAACUGCAUUUGUGACUGUAUAGCUAGAGUACGGCAGAGGGGGAUGGAAUUCCGCGUGUAGCAGUGAAAUGCGUAGAUAUGCGGAGGAACACCGAUGGCGAAGGCAAUCCCCUGGGCCUGUACUGACGCUCAUGCACGAAAGCGUGGGGAGCAAACAGGAUUAGAUACCCCGGUAGUCACUGUCUCUUAUAC